rnacentral:rRNA from 1 species
GACGAACGCUGGCGGCAUGCCUAACACAUGCAAGUCGAGCGAGUAGAUCCCUUCGGGGUGAAGCUAGCGGCGGACGGGUGAGUAACACGUGGGCAACCUGCCUCAUAGAGGGAAAUAGCCUUCCGAAAGGAAGAUUAAUACCGCAUAAGAUUGUAGCUUCGCAUGAAGCAGCAAUUAAAGGAGCAAUCCGCUAUGAGAUGGGCCCGCGGCGCAUUAGCUAGUUGGUGAGGUAACGGCUCACCAAGGCGACGAUGCGUAGCCGACCUGAGAGGGUGAUCGGCCACAUUGGGACUGAGACACGGCCCAGGCUCCUACGGGAGGCAGCAGUGGGGAAUAUUGCACAAUGGGGGAAACCCUGAUGCAGCAAUGCCGCGUGAGUGAUGACGGCCUUCGGGUUGUAAAGCUCUGUCUUCGGGGACGAUAAUGACGGUACCCGAGGAGGAAGCCACGGCUAACUACGUGCCAGCCGCCGCGGUAA